rnacentral:tRNA from 1 species
GGGGUUGUGAUUCAGUGGUAGAGUGUUCACCUAGCAUGUGUGAGGUCCUGGGUUUGAUCCUCAGCACCACA